rnacentral:rRNA from 1 species
UGGGGAAUUUUGCGCAAUGGACGAAAGUCUGACGCAGCAACGCCGCGUGAGUGAAGAAGGCCUUCGGGUUGUAAAGCUCUGUCGGAUGGGAAGAAAAUGGCGUGGGUUAAUAGCCCAAGCAACUGACGGUACCAUCAAAGGAAGCACCGGCUAACUUCGUGCCAGCAGCCGCGGUAAUACGAGGGGUGCAAGCGUUGCUCGGAAUCAUUGGGCGUAAAGGGUAGGUAGGUGGUCUCAUUUGUCUGAGGUG